rnacentral:rRNA from 1 species
AUUGAACGCUGGCGGCAGGCCUAACACAUGCAAGUCGAGCGGAUGAAGGGAGCUUGCUCCUGGAUUCAGCGGCGGACGGGUGAGUAAUGCCUAGGAAUCUGCCUGGUAGUGGGGAUAACGUCCGGAAACGGGCGCUAAUACCGCAUACGUCCUGAGGGAGAAAGUGGGGGAUCUUCGGACCUCACGCUAUCAGAUGAGCCUAGGUCGGAUUAGCUGGUUGGUGGGGUAAAGGCCUACCAAGGCGACGAUCCGUAACUGGUCUGAGAGGAUGAUCAGUCACACUGGAACUGAGACACGGUCCAGACUCCUACGGGAGGCAGCAGUGGGGAAUAUUGGACAAUGGGCGAAAGCCUGAUCCAGCCAUGCCGCGUGUGUGAAGAAGGUCUUCGGAUUGUAAAGCUCUUUAAGUUGGGAGGAAGGGCAGUAAGUUAAUACCUUGCUGUUUUGACGUUACCAACAGAAUAAGCACCGGCUAACUUCGUG